rnacentral:rRNA from 1 species
GCGUAAAGCGCACGCAGGCGGUCUGUCAAGUCGGAUGUGAAAUCCCCGGGCUCAACCUGGGAACUGCAUUCGAAACUGGCAGGCUAGAGUCUUGUAGAGGGGGGUAGAAUUCCAGGUGUAGCGGUGAAAUGCGUAGAGAUCUGGAGGAAUACCGGUGGCGAAGGCGGCCCCCUGGACAAAGACUGACGCUCAGGUGCGAAAGCGUGGGGAGCAAACAGGAUUAGAUACCCUGGUAGUCCACGCCGUAAACGAUGUCGACUUGGAGGUUGUGCCCUUGAGGCGUGGCUUCCGGAGCUAACGCGUUAAGUCGACCGCCUGGGGAGUACGGCCGCAAGGUUAAAACUCAAAUGAAUUGACGGGGGCCCGCACAAGCGGUGGAGCAUGUGGUUUAAUUCGAUGCAACGCGAAGAACCUUACCUACUCUUGACAUCCAGAGAACUUUCCAGAGAUGCAUUGGUGCCUUCGGGAACUCUGAGACAGGUGCUGCAUGGCUGUCGUCAGCUCGUGUUGUGAAAUGUUGGGUUAAGUCCCGCAACGAGCGCAACCCUUAUCCUUUGUUGCCAGCGGUUAGGCCGGGAACUCAAAGGAGACUGCCAGUGAUAAACU